UCACUCUCUUCACACAAGAUUCAUUCUAGCUAGGGGAAAAAUAUCGUCAGAUCUCAGUUUUUACAAGCCAAAUUUCCAUCUAUUUCCAAUUUCUUGCAUUUCCAUCUGAAAAUUAGGGUUCCCACUUCCCUAACUUUCAUUUUCUUCGCUUCUAUUUUUGUCCUUGGAUUUAGUUUGUAUACAUUUUUCUUCCACUAGAUCGAUCCGAAGAUCCGGAUGUACGUUGAGAUAUUGAAUUACAGCAUCAAGUCUCUUCCAGAGAGUCUGGGG